AUUGAACGCUGGCGGAAUGCUUUACACAUGCAAGUCGAGCGGCAGCGCGGGGCAACCUGGCGGCGAGCGGCGAACGGGUGAGUAAUGUAUCGGAACGUGUCCUUGAGUGGGGGAUAGCCCGGUGAAAACCGGAUUAAUACCGCAUACGCAGGAGACGGGAAAGCGGGGGAUCGCAAGAACUCGCGCUGGAGGAGCGGCCGAUAUCCGAUUAGCUAGAGGGUGAGGUAAAGGCUUACCAUGGCUGUGAUCGGUAGCUGGUCUGAGAGGAUGAUCAGCCACACUGGGACUGAGACACGGCCCAGACUCCUACGGGAGGCAGCAGUGGGGAAUUUUGGACAAUGGGGGCAACCCUGAUCCAGCCAUUCCGCGUGAGUGAAGAAGGCCUUCGGGUUGUAAAGCUCUUUUGUCGGGGACGAAACGGUUACGGUUAAUACCUGUGACUACUGACGGUACCCGAAGAAUAAGCACCGGCUAACUACGUGCCAGCAGCCGCCGUAAUAC
rnacentral:rRNA from 1 species